CCCUUUGUGAGGCGCGGGAGAGAUGUGCACCCCACAUCUCUUUGCUUGAGUCCUGGUCCGCAAGAUGGGUGCUUGUUCGUGUGCCCCACCCCACCCCCACGCCCGAGGCCGGGUGCGGCAACUCCGCCCGCCAGCCGCUCCUGCAUUAAAAUUUCAUGGGCGCUGCAGUAAACGCGAAGACGACGCCGGUUGCGCUGGGGGGCCGUAGGGAGGGAGGCUGCGGACCAGAGCGGGGAGGAGUUUGCGAGGGGAGGCGCUUGGGAGGACUCCCCCAGUUCUGUUAAGAGCUGGGCACAAAGAGCCCUUUGCACUCCAGCCGCAGGAGCGAGGAGGAGCCGAGCCCUUACCAUUCCUCCACUUAUGGGCCUUAUCCCAGACCUGGGGCGUCCAGCGCAGCCUCAAACCCAGGGCAUCUCUGCACUCUCAUCGCGACGUCGCUCUGGAUGCUGUUUGCAUAUCCUUGGGGAGUCACUGCUUUGGCACAACAGUCCUGCGAGGUGCUGGAAUUCCGUCUGUUCUCAUCACACGGACAUGGCUGAUCUGUCUCAGUGGUACCUGGGGGCAAAGCAGGGAGCCGGGCGGUGGAGGCCAACAUUGUUACCAAGUUGGCUCUGUCUCAACACAGGGACUGAGCCUUCUGAGCCUCAAGCUUUCUCUCUACACUAUGAGACUGAAUCAGCCUGACUCUGGAACUAGGGUUCCCUGGAAACCUCCACUGUCCUCACAAUGACCAGGAUUCAGUGCACGCUGUGACGGGGUCACUGUGGGUUUGUUCACAGAGUUCCUGCUGGUUCCCAGGUGGUGGA
rnacentral:lncRNA from 1 species